GACCCUCUGGAAACCACUGGAUCUUUGAGGAAAUGGUGGUCCACAGAGCCAGACACAUGGAUACAGCAGAGUCCCUCCCCCCAAGAAGAUGACAGAGUGGCCGGGGAGACAGGCGUGCACACAGCCUAGAAGGCUUCUUCGGGGACUCCUGAGGACUUCAGCUGGCAUGUUCACCAUACCUCUCGGCAGCUGCCUACAUGUGGGCUUCUGUGGAGUUUCUGUCACGCUCUGGACCUGGCCCUGCAUGGUGGCGGCAGGCACUCUGUGGAUUUCCAACUAGACAGCCUUAUUCAUUUUCACGGUGAUUACCAGUGAUGGUACUCGGUCAAAGCAGGCGGAACCGACCAAGAUGCUGCGGAUUCGAGGGACGGGUACCUUUCUAUUGAGUUUCCACAUUGAAGCCCUCAUGUUCCCCUCAGAUUGGUCCAUUCCUGAGCGGGCAUUAGACACGCUUUUGUAACUGAUGUCAGAACUGGCCAGGAGUGAGAAGUAGGGCCUAACCCCUGAUUUCCCGCGGGGAUCUGGAAUCAGCACAGCUAAUAGGAGAAGAAGGGCCAAACGACAGAGAACCACCAACAGGCGUAUGGGGAAACCAUCUGAGCCACAGCGUGAGCAGAGUAAGAAGGUUUCCGUCUUUCAGACUGGAUGCUGGUCUACCUUGCGCAGAAUGGCGGCCUGUGGAGAUGGCCCCAGGGCAGAAAAACAGGUUCUCCACAGCCAAAGUGCUCCUCCGUGUGGGAGCCAGGGAGGCAGGGAUAGCAUGAUCCCAUGCUCUGUGCCCAAGCAUGACACAGUAUUUUCAAAGGUUUGGUUGAAUGAAUCAAGGUCGAGAAGCCGGCAUGGGGGCGACUCCGGGCUUCAGGAGCACUCCGGUGCCUCGCCGCCUGAUGGAUGGCAGUCCUUAAGCCUGACUGAGCUUUCACAGUUGAAACCAUUAAAGAAAAGCCCACUUCCUUAGAAGAUGCUGGACGUCCUAUGACUUACCUCUCUGUGCCUGGGGCUCAUCUCCUGAAAAAGGGCAGAAUAACAGCACCCACCUCAAAGGGCCCAGCAAGCCGUUAGCGAAGGCUGAUGUUCUCCUCUAUGGUGGGUUGCUGGGAGGCUGGGAAGCUCCAUGCUAUCACUCUGCCUGUAUGCUUGUCAAUAAAUCACUUUACCUCUCUUGGCCUUA
rnacentral:lncRNA from 1 species